UUAAGCUAACCCCAAAAACUUGAAAACACGGGAGAAAAAAACGCGCGAGCGAGCUCAACGUUCGUCGUCGUCUCCUUCGUCUUCGAUCAAGAGGGUUUAGCUUCAACGUCAUCGUCGUCUUCUUCAGCUUCAACCUAUCUGACUGGAAGCCAAAUCUAACUUGCAGCAGUUCUCAUUUGUUAAUAUUCCUUAAAGAUUGAGAUUGAGAAUUGCAGCAAAGUGAGGAGGAAGCAGCUCUUGGUUGUGGGAAGCGCAAGCACCUAAGUGAAACAUUGAGUGAGAUGUGAUUUUAUAUGAUUGAAAAGUUUUGACACGAAAGGAAAUUAUGGUACUGAGGAAGAAAUUGUGCGAGAGUUCCAAUUUCAAUGUCAAACUAUUGUACACCUUUUCAAGGUAUUUUAGCUCAAAUAAGAUGGACUUAAGGAAGCUAAAGCCUAUGAUUCAGAAGAGAAUCCAAGACCGGGCUAAAGAUUACCCAGUACCGGGCAUGAUUCCAGUGGCCCAGGAGGUCCUUAAUUCCCGGAGGCUCAUUAUGCAAGGUGUCUCUACCCUCCUCAAAGUGUUACCAGUUAUGGCCUGCAAGUUCUGUCCAGAAAUAUACAUAGGCGAGAAAGGCCACUUAAUUCAGACUUGUUGUGGUUUCAAACAUCGUGACAAGAAUCGUGUUCAUGAAUGGAUAACUGGUGGUUUAAAUGAUGUGCUUGCUCCAGUAGAGGCAUUUCACCUGAAGCACAUGUUCCAGGAUGUUAUUAAGCCCAUCAGAGGUUUGACUUUGAACGUGUUCCUGCAGUUGUCGAGCUAUGCUGGCAAGCAGGGGCAAAUGAUGAAAAUCGGUAUUCAAAUUGGAGCCCAGAAAGUGAUUGUUGUAGUGUUGAUGGAGCUGAGUCAUUGUCAUCUGAUGAACUUCUUAUGAUUGCCAGUGGAACUUUGAGGGCAUGGGAAAUUCUCAGAAAUGGCGUGGAGAAGUUGUUGAUGGUUUAUCCAGCAAAAGUAUGUAACCAUUGUUCAGAAGUUCAUAUAGGGCCAUCUGGGCAUAAGGCUAGGCUUUGUGGAAUUUUUAAGCAUGAGAGUUGGCAGGGAACCCACUUUUGGAGAAAGGCAAAUGUAGAUGAUCUUAUGCCUCCAAAGAUUGUAUGGCGGCGGCGACCUCAGGAUCCUCAAGUGCUUUUGAACAAAGGGAGGGGCUUUUAUGGGCAUGCUCCAGCAGUAGUAGAACUAUGCACACAGGCUGGUGCUGUUGCACCUUCGAAGUAUCACAGUUUGAUGAAACUGCAGGGUGUAGCUACACUUGGAAAUCAAAGUUUGUACCAUCCGAAAGAUCAAAUGUGAAUGCAGUUAACUCCGAGGUGGGAAAUUGAAGCCCAGCAGAAGCUCCCUAGGACCACAGAUGUGGGUAGAAUUGUUUAACUAUGAUGUUUGAUGAUCAAUAGCAGGAAAUUGAAGCCCCACAGAAGCUCCCUUAUCCUCUGAUCUUGGUUCUUGAGACACAUUGUAACCAUCAGAUGAAUGACGAGGGAGCCCAAGAUGGGCCCCACAAUGAAAUGGCACGUUUUGCCCCCUUCACUUGGAGCAUGAAAGAGCUGAGAAAAUGGGUAGCUUUGCUUUUAUGGACACAGAAACAAGAUACAGAGUGGAAAGAGUGAAAGCAAGAACAGGGGUUAAACUCAUAGGAAAUUAAGUUGAUAUUUUCUUCUACUUAUUACUGACUGAUGUUAUAGAUGGUUAAUACAACAUGAUAAAUAAUUGAAAUCCCUAACGGAAUCAAAUGCUCCAUUAUGCUG